UGAGCAGCAGGUCCUUCAUGGCUCUUGAGGG
rnacentral:piRNA from 1 species